AUUGAACGCUGGCGGCAGGCCUAACACAUGCAAGUCGAGCGAGCGGCGGACGGGUGAGUAAUGUAUGGGGACUGCCCGAUAGAGGGGGAUAACUACUGGAAACGGUGGCUAACACCCCAUACUAUCUGAUAACCCCUAUGGGAUUUGCUAGUAGGUGAGGUAAUGGCUCACCUAGGCGACGAUCCCUAGCUGGUCUGAGAGGAUGAUCAGCAACACUGGGACUGAGAAACGGCCCAUACUCCUACGGAGGCAGCAGUGGGGAAUAUUGAACAAUGUGCGCAAGCCUGAUGCAGCCAUGCCGCGUGUAUGAAGAAGGCCCUAGGGUUGUAAAGUACGUUCAGUGGGGAGGCGUUACCGACAGAAGAAGCACCGGAUAACUCCGUGCCAGCAGCCGCGGUAAUUC
rnacentral:rRNA from 1 species